AGAGUUUGAUCAUGGCUCAGGAUGAACGCUAGCGGGAGGCCUAACACAUGCAAGCCGAGCGGUAGAAGAUCUUCGGAUCUUUGAGAGCGGCGUACGGGUGCGGAACACGUGUGCAACCUGCCUUUAUCAGGGGGAUAGCCUUUCGAAAGGAAGAUUAAUACCCCAUAAUAUAAUGAGUGGCAUCACUUAUUAUUGAAAACUCCGGUGGAUAGAGAUGGGCACGCGCAAGAUUAGAUAGUUGGUAGGGUAACGGCCUACCAAGUCAGUGAUCUUUAGGGGGCCUGAGAGGGUGAUCCCCCACACUGGUACUGAGACACGGACCAGACUCCUACGGGAGGCAGCAGUGAGGAAUAUUGGACAAUGGGUGAGAGCCUGAUCCAGCCAUCCCGCGUGAAGGACGACGGCCCUAUGGGUUGUAAACUUCUUUUGUAUAGGGAUAAACCUUUCCACGUGUGGAAAGCUGAAGGUACUAUACGAAUAAGCACCGGCUAACUCCGUGCCAGCAGCCGCGGUAAUAC
rnacentral:rRNA from 1 species